rnacentral:lncRNA from 10 species
AGCAGAGCUAAUGGCAAGAACACUGCUGGCUGAGCACAGCCAUGCACUGAGCAGGAGAGGAGGCUGCUGGCAUCCUCAUGGUGGCCCUGGCAGGCAGGUACCAUGGAGCCUGUGCAGACCACACAACCAGUGAGGGUCAGCGCCAGAAUUCAGAAUGAUGUGAAUGGCGGUUGGCUGUCAUUUCCUGAGUGCUCACCGUGCACCAUACAUUGAGCUGGGUGCCCUGCAUACCUUUUCUCAUUUAAUCUUUGUGAGUCUUUCAGGUGGUCUGGUAUGAUGGUCAAGAGCAUAGGCCCCAGAAGCAAACCACUAGGGUUGAACUGUUAACUACGUGACCUUGGACAUGUUACUGAACCUCUGUGCCUCAGCUUCCCUGUCUAUAAAAUGGGGAUAAUAGUACCUACUUUAUAGGGUUGUUGUGAAAGUACUUACAGUAGUGGUUCACAGUAGGUGGUAGGUAAGUGUUGG